CUCUCAAGUUAUUGUGUGAUCUACUCAUUCGGGAGUAAGUCGUGUUAAUAAAAACAAAAUACCCAUUGCUUUUUUACUUCGUAUUUAUUUAUGUAUUUGUAAAUCCGACGAUGAGGAAAGGUGUAUUUAUAUGUUUUUGGACCUAUGUCAUACUGACGGAAGGGGUAACGGAUAAGCCUUCAGUGCACUGGUGGUGCGAUGAAAUAGAGUGUUAUUACAGUGAUACAAUACCCUUCGAAGAAAAAUGUGAUAGCAACAAAUCCAU